UGGGGAAUUUUCCGCGAUGGGCGAAAGCCUGACGGAGCAACGCCGCGUGAGGGAGGAAGGCUUUUGGGUUGUAAACCUCUUUUCUCAAGGAAGAUAAUGACGGUACUUGAGGAAUCAGCAUCGGCUAACUCCGUGCCAGCAGCCGCGGUAAUACGGAGGAUGCAAGCGUUAUCCGGAAUAAUUGGGCGUAAAGCGUUCGAAGGUGGUUUAUCAAGUCAGUUGUUAAAGACUGCAGCUCAACUGUGGGCGAGCAACUGAAACUGAUGAACUAGAGUGCGGUAGGGGUAGAGGGAAUUCCCAGUGUAGCGGUGAAAUGCGUAGAUAUUGGGAAGAACACCAGUGGCGAAGGCGCUCUACUGGGCCGCAACUGACGCUGAGGGACGAAAGCUAGGGGAGCGAAAGGGAUUAGAUACCCCGGUAGUCC
rnacentral:rRNA from 1 species